rnacentral:rRNA from 1 species
GUUUACAACCAUGCCACCCUGAACGUGCCUGAUCUCGUCUGACAUCGGAAGCUAAGCAGGGUUGGGCCUGGUUAGUACUUGGAUGGGAGACCACCUAGGAAGACCAGAUGCUGUAGGCA